rnacentral:rRNA from 1 species
CCUACGGGUGGCUGCAGUGGGGAAUAUUGCACAAUGGGGGAAACCCUGAUGCAGCGACGCCGCGUGAGCGAAGAAGUAUUUUGGUAUGGAAAACUCUAUCCGCAGGGAAGAAAAUGACGGUACCUGAAUCAGAAGCCCCGGCUAACUACGUGCCAGCAGCCGCGGUAAUACGUAGGGGGCAAGCGUUAUCCGGAUUUACUGGGUGUAAAGGGAGCGUAGACGGGGGAGUAAGCCGGAUGUGAAAGCCCGGGGCUCAACCCCGGGACUGCAUUUGAUACUGUGCGGCUAGAGUGUCGGAGAGGUAGGCGGAAUGCCUGGUGUAGCGGUGAAAUGCGUAGAUAUUAGGAGGAACACCAGUGGCGAAGGCGGCUUACUGGACAUUAACUGACGUUGAGGCUCGAAAGCGUGGGGAGCAAACAGGAUUAGAUACCCUUGUAGUC